CUGGCGGCGUGCCUAAUACAUGCAAGUCGAACGGUCUUUCUAUGGAAGCUUGCUUCCACUGAGAAGAUAGUGGCGAACGGGUGAGUAACACGUGGGUAACCCUGCCCAUAAGAGGGGGGAUAACAUCCGGAAACGGGUGCUAAUACCGCAUAGUUUUCUUGAUCGCAUGAUCGGGAAAGGAAAGACGGCCUUUGUGCUGUCGCUUAUGGAUGGACCCGCGGCGUAUUAGUUAGUUGGUGAGGUAACGGCUCACCAAGACGAUGAUACGUAGCCGACCUGAGAGGGUGAUCGGCCACAUUGGGACUGAGACACGGCCCAAACUCCUACGGGAGGCAGCAGUAGGGAAUCUUCCGCAAUGGACGAAAGUCUGACGGAGCAACGCCGCGUGAGUGAAGAAAAGGUUUUCGGAUCGUAAAACUCUGUUGUCAGAGAAGAACAAGUUGGAGAGUAACUGCUCCAGCCUUGACGGUAUCUGACCAGAAAGCCACGGCUAACUACGUGCCAGCAGCCGC
rnacentral:rRNA from 1 species